rnacentral:rRNA from 1 species
CCUACGGGUGGCUGCAGUGAGGAAUAUUGGUCAAUGGACGCAAGUCUGAACCAGCCAUGCCGCGUGCAGGAAGACGGCUCUAUGAGUUGUAAACUGCUUUUGUACGAGGGUAAACGCAGAUACGCUUAUCUGUCUGAAAGUACCGUAUGAAUAAGGACCGGCGAACUCCGUGCCAGCAGCCGCGGUAAUACGGAGGAUGCAAGCGUUAUACGGAUUUAUUGGGGUUAAAGGGUGCGUAGGCGGACGGAUAAGUUAGAAGUGAAAUCCCGAGGCUCAACUUCGGUAUUGCCUCUGAUGUUGUUCGGCUAGAGAGUAGUAGCGGUAGGCGGAAUGUAUGGUGUAGCGGUGAAAUGCGUAGAGAUCAGACAGAACACCGAUUGCGAAGGCAGCUUACCAGGCUACUUCUGACGUUGAGGCACGAAAGCGUGGGGAGCAAACAGGAUUAGAUACCCGAGUAGUC